rnacentral:rRNA from 1 species
CCUACGGGAGGCAGCAGUAGGGAAUCUUCCACAAUGGGCGCAAGCCUGAUGGAGCAACACCGCGUGAGUGGAGAAGGGUUUCGGCUCGUAAACCUCUUUUGUCAGGGAACAAAGGCGGGGACGCGUCCCCGGAUGAGUGUACCUGAAGAAAAAGCAUCGGCUAAAUCCGUGCCAGCAGCCGCGGGAAUACGGAGGAUGCGAGCGUUAUCCGGAUUUAUUGGGGUUAAAGGGG